AGGGACCAGCGUCCCAGUCGUAGCCUGUGCUACGACCCCCGCCCAUACUUCUGCAAGUAUGGACUUCCGCCUGAGGCGGCGUUUACUUGUUGGCAUCCAUGACAGCUUCCCGCUCGCCGUCUGACCCAGAGGUCGGAGCCAUAAAGAUCUGACAGAAAAGCGGCAAAAUAGGCAGUUGGAAUUCAGUUAGUUCCAGCGAACUUGUCCAGUAACCGCGCCGAGCGAGAAAAGAAAAAUGUAUCAGUUUGGACCCAGAUUUAAGAAGCGGAAUACAACAAUUGCCUUCGCAAGACCGCGCUGAUCAUCCACUUGCAUGAUACCACGGAUAUCCGCAUUGACGGGCACAUCGAGGUCCCAGAGCUUCUAACGCGCAGACACAAACGCCGGGCAUUCUACCAAGAAAUGUUUCUCAUCCUCAACAGCUCCAUUGCUACGACACACAGUGUCGCGUCAUACGACUGUAGCACCGAACAAAACACGUGCGUCGAAGUCGACCCUAACGCCGCGAGCCAAAAGACCUAUAUAAAUGAGUUCAGGAGAUUUGCCAAGAGGCUCGAAGAUAUGUGGAAUUAGCCGAUGGUGCCGGUGUCUGACUGGAGUGGCCUGAACACCACGGCGAAGAAAAGUGUUGGUGUGAAAUACCAAAAGGGACUGCGCCCUGGGCGUCCUCUGCGUGGCCUGGGGUUAACUGCCUCGAUGUAAACUGCAGUAGCGAAUUGAGGCUAGUGAAAGCAAAAGAAUUGAUGUGACCCCGUAUAAUUUGGCCAGAGGUACGCGAAAUGCUCGUUAAGCACAGAAGAGCUCGAACCUGCUGUUCAGGUGAGCUGAAUAUAUAGUAUAAGAACAAUGUUAGGCUGGUCUGACCAAGCCUAGAUGGUAAAACG
rnacentral:lncRNA from 1 species